UCUUAAACGAGCACUGGACUACGGGACUAGGGAUAGGGUUUUGUGGAGGUUGAAGACUUCGGUUCUAUUUUACUCUCAGUUGAAUUGACAGUCAACAGAAUCACUUGAUAUUCUUCCACAAUUGCUAAUUGUUUCGCAGAGGACAACGUUUUGCUGCUUUGGUAUUGGAAGGAAGAGAAGCGCUGAUCCUCCCUAGAGAAAUGUACUUGAAAUUUUAAGUUUAUUUAGUUAUUUCUGUCCAGUAUCAAAUAAAUUUUGGUUUUUCUUCGUAGUGAUCGCAUCAGUCCCAAAUAUGAUCAUGUUUGUUCAUGAAAAACAAGGAUUGUAUUUUUGGUUAAUCCUCAUCUUUCAUAUAUUUGCAACUAAAAUUUUCUCUUUUAAGUGAUGAUACGUUUUUAACAGAAUUCCUGUUAUAUAGACGUCUUAUUAAGACAGCCUAGUGUGCAUGGAAUAUCCGACAAUUACUAGUGGUCGAGAAGAUGACUGUACAUUGUUUUCAGGCUCUACACUGUUCUUCUGGCAUGGUAAUAUGGUACUCACCGUCACUGUAAGUUAUUGCUGCUGCAAAUUUUUUAGGUUUAUUUCUUGUUGCUGCCGCGUUAAUUUGUCAAUGUAGGGCUGUAGUUUAUUUACGCAAGUGGUUACGAUAGCAUGAUUCGUACCA